rnacentral:rRNA from 1 species
GUGAACAGCAUUUGGACGUGGGUGAGUCGGUCUAAGAGAUGGGCGAAAGCCUGGUUAGUAAGGGUGCAGAUGUGCGCUGUYCCUUCAUCGGGGCACGCAUAUCCUGGUUGGUUCUUCACGGGACCGCCUUAGGUGGCACCAGCUCUCGAAAGGGCAUCGGGUUAAUAUUCCCGAACCAGACACCUGGAUGCUGCCUGCCUCGAUUGGCCUCUUCACGGGGGUUGAUUGGACAGGUGGAGCACGGCAACGUAUAUGUAUGUGUGUAUACUCGGCGACGCUUGCGAUAGCCCUGGGAAGAGUUGUCUUUUCUUCUUAACCGUACCAACCGUGUGCACAGCCCUGGAAGCAGUUUACCUUGAGAGAGGGCUGGAGGUCGGGUAAAGCGCUGCACUUAUUGCAGCGUCCAGUGCGCUGUCGAGAGCCCCUGAAAAGCUGAGUCAGGACUGGACCAUGUUAGUCUCGUGUCUGGCCGUACCCAUCACCGCAUCAGGUCUCCAAG